UGCAGUCGAACGAAGGCCCGGAGCUUGCUCCGGAUCCCUUAGUGGCGAACGGGUGAGUAACGCGUGGGAAUCUACCUAGAAGUGGGGAAUAACUGUUGGAAACGACAGCUAAUACCGCAUAAUCCCUUCGGGGCAAAGGCUUCGGCCGUUUUUAGAUGAGCCCGCGUUAGAUUAGGCUGUUGGUGAGGUAAUGGCUCACCAAACCUACAAUCUAUAGCUGGUCUGAGAGGAUGAUCAGCCACACUGGGACUGAGACACGGCCCAGACUCCUACGGGAGGCAGCAGUGGGGAAUAUUGGACAAUGGGGGAAACCCUGAUCCAGCAAUGCCGCGUGAGUGAUGAAGGCCCUAGGGUUGUAAAGCUCUUUCAGAAGUGAAGAUGAUGACGGUAACUUCAGAAGAAGCUCCGGCUAACUCCGUGCCAGCAGCCGCGGUAAUACGGAGGGAGCUAGCGUUGUUCGGAAUUACUGGGCGUAAAGGGCGUGUAGGCUGUUUGAUCAGUCAGAGGUGAAAUCCCUAAGCUCAACUUAGGAACUGCCUUUGAUACUAUCAUACUAGAGAUCGAGAGAAGUUAGCGGAAUUCCAAGUGUAGAGGUGAAAUUCGUAGAUAUUUGGAAGAACACCUGUGGCGAAAGCGGCUAACUGGCUCGCAUCUGACGCUGAGACGCGAAAGCGUGGGUAGCAAACAGGAUUAGAUACCCUGGUAGUCCACGCCGUAAACGAUGAGUGCUAGCCGUUUGUGAUUUAUCACAAGUGGUGCAGUUAACA
rnacentral:rRNA from 1 species